rnacentral:rRNA from 1 species
CACGUAGGGCGCAAGCGUUGUCCGGAAUUAUUGGGCGUAAAGAGCUCGUAGGCGGUUUGUCGCGUCUGCUGUGAAAUCCCGAGGCUCAACCUCGGGUCUGCAGUGGGUACGGGCAGACUGGAGUGCGGUAGGGGGAGACUGGAAUUCCUGGUGUAGCGGUGAAAUGCGCAGAUAUCAGGAGGAACACCUACGGCGAAGGCAGCUCGCUGGGACGGUACUGACGCUGAGACGCGAAAGCGUGGGGAGCAAACAGG